rnacentral:rRNA from 1 species
AUAAGCACCGGCUAACUCCGUGCCAGCAGCCGCGGUAAUACGGAGGGUGCGAGCGUUAUCCGGAUUUAUUGGGUUUAAAGGGUGCGUAGGCGGAACUUUAAGUCAGUGGUGAAAUCCUGCGGCUCAACCGUAGAACUGCCAUUGAUACUGAUGUUCUUGAAUGAGUUGAGGUAGGCGGAAUGUGUAAUGUAGCGGUGAAAUGCUUAGAUAUUACACAGAACACCGAUUGCGAAGGCAGCUUACUAA